rnacentral:rRNA from 1 species
GAUGAACGCUGGCGGCGUGCCUAACACAUGCAAGUCGAACGGAGUCGUUUUGGAAAUCUCUUCGGAGAUGGAAUUCUCGACUUAGUGGCGGACGGGUGAGUAACGCGUGAGCAAUCUGCCUUUAAGAGGGGGAUAACAGUCGGAAACGGCUGCUAAUACCGCAUAAAGCAUUAAAUUCGCAUGUUUUUGAUGCCAAAGGAGCAAUCCGCUUUUAGAUGAGCUCGCGUCUGAUUAGCUAGUUGGCGGGGUAACGGCCCACCAAGGCGACGAUCAGUAGCCGGAGUGAGAGGUUGAACGGCCACAUUGGGACUGAGACACGGCCCAGACUCCUACGGGAGGCAGCAGUGGGGAAUAUCGCGCAAUGGGGGAAACCCUGACGCAGCAACGCCGCGUGAUUGAAGAAGGCCUUCGGGUUGUAAAGAUCUUUAAUCAGGGACGAAACAAAUGACGGUACCUGAAGAAUAAGCGCCGGCUAACUACGUG